GACGCACUCUCAGAGUUUGAUCCUGGCUCAGGAUGAACGCUAGCGAUAGGCUUAACACAUGCAAGUCGAGGGGUAACAGGCGGUAGCAAUACUGUGCUGACGACCGGCGGAUGGGUGAGUAACGCGUAUGCAAUCUACCUUUUACCCGGGGAUAGCCCAUGGAAACGUGGAUUAAUACCCGAUGCAUUUCUUUUGUGGCCUCAUGAAGGGAAUAAAGAUUUAUCGGUAAGAGAUGAGCAUGCGUUCCAUUAGGAAGUUGGUAAGGUAACGGCUUACCAAUCCGAUGAUGGAUAGGGGUUCUGAGAGGAAGGUCCCCCACACUGGAAUUGAGAAACGGUCCAG
rnacentral:rRNA from 1 species